AAGGAUAAUUAAAUAAAUGUCUCUAACAUGAUCAAGGAAGACUUGGGUUGAAGUUGCAUUGUUACUGGAGACUCUGUUAUUAGAGUUUGAAAAAUCAUCAAAAUGAGACCAACCUCAUCUGAAGAUUGCUGUGCCAUCCAUGCCUUUGAAUUUACCAGAUUAAAGGAUUACUUUUUAAUAUUCUUUUAAGAUUGAAAAUAAAAAGCUUCAUUUUUAUUACA
rnacentral:lncRNA from 1 species